UUCAACGGAAUAGAAUCUUGAACUUGUUUCUCUACACAGGGCACAUGCCUGCAGAAACUUUAUAGUUUGGAAAUACUCCUUUUUUGAAAAGUACACCUUUGUUUUUCCUAGCGUGAUUGUUUUUAUAACUGUGCUGUGAUUUCUUAUGGAGUGAUCUAAUUUUGAAUGGUAUUUUAAUGAAUGAAUAUCAAUAUUUGGUGCAUGUAUUAUGUAAUCAUAUGGGAAUAUACAUCUGUAAGACUGAUUGAAAGUGUCAAUACUCAUUUUAAACAUUUGACAUAUAACUUGUGUGCUUCUCUACUAAAUAGAGUCAAAUGUUGUGAAUAGGAACACUAUUUUUUUGAUUAUUUCUGUUCUGGUUGUUUCCCUUGAAUUGUGUGAAUUUUUGGAAUUACUAUGAAAUACAAACAAAACACAGGAUACAGUUCAGAAAUGUUGCAUUUAAUUCAUUAAACAUUAUAUUUUAAUAUAACAAAAGCUUUUUGUUUUAUUAUGCAUAUAUUAAAAAACUUAAGGUGGCAGGGGAUAUAUCAGUGAAAGGGGGGGUCCAUGAAAAUUACAUAUCUUUAGGGUAGGUGUUACCUAUGGUCUUUAAAAAUCAAUUAGGUAUUUAUAAGAUGUAUUUCUUGUGUUAGGUUGUAGAAAGAAUGUCUCAAAAUUUUGGAAAAAAACAUUACAACUAGCCACAGCUCCCUAGCAAGGAAAUUUUGAAUCUUCAAAAAGGAGGUUUUCACUUUUGUCGGAAGUCAAUAUUUCACGCUGCAGAAACAGAACAAAAUUUUGAAGACUGUGGUACUGUUUGAUGUGGUCGCAGUUUAAUAGGGAGAACGAGUGGACCCCGAGAACGAUUACACGCAUUCAAGACAUCGUUAGCCACAGAAUCACCCAAUCGCACUACACUUUCCAGACUGUGGUACUGUUUGAUGUGGUCGCAGUUUAAUAGGGAGAACGAGUGGACCCCGAGAACGAUUACACGCAUUCAAGACAUCGUUAGCCACAGAAUCACCCAAUCGCACUACACUUUCCAGACUGUGGUACUGUUUGAUGUGGUCGCAGUUUAAUAGGGAGAACGAGUGGACCCCGAGAACGAUUACACGCAUUCAAGACAUCGUUAGCCACAGAAUCACCCAAUCGCACUACACUUUCCAGACUGUGGUACUGUUUGAUGUGGUCGCAGUUUAAUAGGGAGAACGAGUGGACCCCGAGAACGAUUACACGCAUUCAAGACAUCGUUAGCCACAGAAUCACCCAAUCGCACUACACUUUCCAGACUGUGGUACUGUUUGAUGUGGUCGCAGUUUAAUAGGGAGAACGAGUGGACCCCGAGAACGAUUACACGCAUUCAAGACAUCGUUAGCCACAGAAUCACCCAAUCGCACUACACUUUCCAGACUGUGGUACUGUUUGAUGUGGUCGCAGUUUAAUAGGGAGAACGAGUGGACCCCGAGAACGAUUACACGCAUUCAAGACAUCGUUAGCCACAGAAUCACCCAAUCGCACUACACUUUCCAGGUCAGGGUCUGAAUUCAACGGAAUAGAA